CGUGUUCCAGACAGACCCAUGGCUUGUUAACUCUUUGAUGACCCCUGAGAUUGUUGUACUGACAGCCCUUUCUCUCUUUCUCCUUUGCUUUGUCCAGAAAAAGAAUCCGCCCUUGGAAUAGGACCUGAAGUGGAGGGGACCAAUUGUGGCCUAAACAAAGACAGACAGAGAGAACUAAUGCCAAGCCCUUCUCCUCCUCAGACAGCCUAGCGAAGGUCCAGGAGGUAGCAAGCUGGCUUUUGGAAAUGAACCAGGAUCUGCUGUCGGGGGGCAGCAGCAGCAGGCGGAGUCGGGGGCCCGGGGGUCCAGCAGUGCGAGGUAACGCCUCCUCCACGGCCCGGGCACCCCAGCAGGCGGCAGAGGAAGGAGAUGAGGAUGAACACAUGAACCGGGUAGUUGAGGAGGAAGAGCAGCUGCAGCAGAGGCCUGAGGCAUCGCAGGUUGAUGGCGAGAGAGAACAACCAUGGGCACCCAGUGAGUCGGGAGCCAGCAAUGGCCCUCAGGGGGGAGAUGAAGAUGAAGAGGGCCCACCAAAUGAAGUGAACGGAGGAGCAAAAGGAGCACGAUGGAUGUGGGGGGCAGAGCAGAGGCGGCUUCGAGGACAGCCGCUGGGCGAGGAAGAAGAAGAGGAAGAAGAAGAGGAGAACAACAACAGCAGCAGCCACCAGGAGGAGGAAGAAGCAGAGGAGAGGAC
ensembl:lncRNA